UCCGCAGUAGCUCAGUGGUAGAGCUAUCGGCUGUUAACCGAUCGGUCGUAGGUUCGAGUCCUACCUCGGAG
rnacentral:tRNA from 1 species